rnacentral:rRNA from 1 species
UACAGAGGUCUCAAGCGUUGUUCGGAUUCAUUGGGCGUAAAGGGUGCGUAGGUGGCGGGGUAAGUCAGGUGUGAAAUCUCGGAGCUCAACUCCGAAACUGCACUUGAUACUGCCUUGCUGGAGUACUGGAGAGGAGAUUGGAAUUUACGGUGUAGCAGUGAAAUGCGUAGAUAUCGUAAGGAAGACCAGUGGCGAAGGCGAAUCUCUGGACAGUUACUGACACUGAGGCACGAAGGCCAGGGGAGCAAACGGG